AUUGAGAUUGAUUCUGUCUUUAUUUAAAUUAGCUUGAUGAUAAUAUUAAAUACAAGUUUUUGCGAGAAUGUUGGUUGUCUAAAAGAUAAUUUUAUUUAUUUGUAGUUUUUAAUUUUAAGUAUUACAGAUAUGUAGACUUAGUCAAUUAUUUUAGAUCUGUUAAAAGUUGUGCCAGCAAACGCGGUUAUACAUCUAGAUCUAGUUAAUUUUUUUGGUUAGUAUUUAUUUUAAAUUUGUUGGAUAUUAAAUUUUUUUUUGUAGGUGAAAUUUUAAUUUGAACUAUAUUUUCUUGGUUUAAGAUUAUAUGAAGUUUAGGAUAAAAACUAGGAUUAGAUACCCUAUUAUUCUAAAUGUAAAUUUAUAUAACCAUAGUAUUAAUAGUUAUGAUCUUUAAAUUAAAAGGAUUUGGCGGUAAUUUAGUCUUUUCAGAGGAACCUGUCCUGUAAUCGAUAAUCCACGUUAUAUUUAACUUUAAUUAUUGUUUGUAUAUCUCUGUCAUUGAAUGUUUUAUUAGGAUAUUUUCUUUAAUUAUUAAUUUAAUUAAUGUCAGGUCAAGGUGCAGCUAUAUUAAAGGUUGAGAUGGGUUACAUUUAAUGU
rnacentral:rRNA from 1 species